rnacentral:rRNA from 1 species
CCUACGGGUGGCAGCAGUGGGGAAUAUUGCACAAUGGGGGAAACCCUGAUGCAGCGAUGCCGCGUGAGUGAAGAAGGCUUUCGGUAUGUAAAGCUCUAUCAGUCGGGAAGAUAAUGACAGUACCUGACUACUUAGCCCCGGCCAUCUACGUCACAGCAGCCGCGGUAAUACGGCGGGGGCAAGCGUUAUCCGGAUUUACUGGGUGUAACGGGUGCGUAGGUGGCAGGGCAAGUCAGAUGUGAAAGCCCGGGGCUCAACCCGGGUACUGCAUUUGAAACUGGCCAGCUGGAGUGCAGCAGAGGUAAGCGGAAUUCCUAGUGUAGCGGUGAAAUGCGUAGAGAUUAGGAGGAACACCAGUGGCGAAGGCGGCUUACUGGACUGUAACUGACACUGAGGCGCGAAAGCGUGGGGAGCAAACAGGAUUAGAUACCCCUGUAGUC